GAUGAACGCUGGCGGCGUGCUUAACACAUGCAAGUCGAACGGAAAGGCCUCUGCUUGCAGGGGUACUCGAGUGGCGAACGGGUGAGUAACACGUGGGUGAUCUGCCCUGCACUUCGGGAUAAGCCUGGGAAACUGGGUCUAAUACCGGAUAGGACAAUGGUUUGGAUGCUGUUGUGGAAAGUUUUUCGGUGUGGGAUGAGCUCGCGGCCUAUCAGCUUGUUGGUGGGGUAAUGGCCUACCAAGGCGUCGACGGGUAGCCGGCCUGAGAGGGUGUACGGCCACAUUGGGACUGAGAUACGGCCCAGACUCCUACGGGAGGCAGCAGUGGGGAAUAUUGCACAAUGGGCGCAAGCCUGAUGCAGCGACGCCGCGUGGGGGAUGACGGCCUUCGGGCUGUAAACUCCUUUCGCUAGGGACGAAGCGUUUUUGUGACGGUACCUGGAGAAGAAGCACCGGCUAACUACGUG
rnacentral:rRNA from 1 species